UACGUAGGGGGCAAGCGUUGUCCGGAUUUAUUGGGCGUAAAGAGCGUGUAGGCGGCCAGGUAGGUCUGGUGUGAAAACUCGAGGCUUAACCUCGAGAUGUCAUCGGAAACCAUCUGGCUAGAGUCCGGAAGAGGAGAGUGGAAUUCCUGGUGUAGCGGUGAAAUGCGCAGAUAUCAGGAAGAACACCAAUGGCGAAAGCAGCUCUAUGGGACGGUACUGACGCUGAGACGCGAAAGCGUGGGGAGCGAACAGG
rnacentral:rRNA from 1 species